ensembl:lincRNA Gm20714 predicted gene 20714
GGAAGACGUAAAUUCAAGUCUAAUGCCGACUAGAAGAAUCAAAGAAGAAAAGAAAGGUGGAGAAAGCUGUCACAGUCAAGUACCAAACUAGAGCCAGGAGAUCUGAGCAUCAAUGGUAGAAGUCAAAAGCAUCGGACGAAGGAUCCUAUUUCCAGUGAAGACUAAGUGACCUGGUGCCCCGAAGCUGAUGCAGGAAAGGCUGCAGCGCAUUACCGAGUCGGGUCUUGUCUACUCAGAAGCAUGCCGUAUUCCAACGCAGCAGUUAGAAACUCUUUGAAGUCUGUUUUAGCAGUCUGUUCUUUUAAAUUGUCAAUAAUAUAAACACAGCAAUCAACACA